rnacentral:rRNA from 1 species
CGCUGGCGGCAGGCCUAACACAUGCAAGUCGAGCGGUAGAGAGAAGCUUGCUUCUCUUGAGAGCGGCGGACGGGUGAGUAAUGCCUAGGAAUCUGCCUGGUAGUGGGGGAUAACGUUCGGAAACGGACGCUAAUACCGCAUACGUCCUACGGGAGAAAGCAGGGGACCUUCGGGCCUUGCGCUAUCAGAUGAGCCUAGGUCGGAUUAGCUAGUUGGUGAGGUAAUGGCUCACCAAGGCGACGAUCCGUAACUGGUCUGAGAGGAUGAUCAGUCACACUGGAACUGAGACACGGUCCAGACUCCUACGGGAGGCAGCAGUGGGGAAUAUUGGACAAUGGGCGAAAGCCUGAUCCAGCCAUGCCGCGUGUGUGAAGAAGGUCUUCGGAUUGUAAAGCACUUUAAGUUGGGAGGAAGGGUUGUAGAUUAAUACUCUGCAAUUUUGACGUUACCGACAGAAUAAGCACCGGCUAACUCUGUGCCAGCAGCCGCGGUAAUACAGAGGGUGCAAGCGUUAAUCGGAAUUACUGGGCGUAAAGCGCGCGUAGGUGGUUUGUUAAGUUGGAUGUGAAAUCCCCGGGCUCAACCUGGGAACUGCAUUCAAAACUGACUGACUAGAGUAUGGUAGAGGGUGGUGGAAUUUUCUGUGUAGCGGUGAAAUGCGUAGAUAUAGGAAGGAACACCAGUGGCGAAGGCGACCACCUGGACUAAUACUGACACUGAGGUGCGAAAGCG